CCCUGUCAAACAGCCUUGUUCUGAGGGCAUAGUAACCACAGACAAGCUCCACCCUUCAGCAGUACAGCAACCUUGAAACUUCAUUCUUAAAAAAGGGACUGCAUGGGAUGAUUUUGGUUUCUACAACAGUUACCUUCAUUGUACACAUUUUCUUUUGUACACAGGUUUCUAAAUCCAGCUGUUUCCUGAGUUUUACCGCAGCCACGGAGAGGCGUGCAGGCUAAUACAACUGGGCAGGCCCUGACGAGCAGGAUGGAUUCCAGCAUUCAUACACUGCAGAGGUGCCUGGAGAACAUUUACAAGGUGAUCAGAAAGGCUAAUGAUAUGCUAUGCGGAAUCAGCCAUCCCUCUGUCUGCACUGAGGUGCUGCUCUCUGCUCAAGGGAAGACCUACAUCUCAGGUGUAGUUGAGGUUUACAAAGUGUCUAAGAGAGUGGAAGGAGGCAUGAGAACCCGUGGCGUCACAAACGAAGCUCUCCAACGCAGUGUCAAGGACAUUGAGUUACUGUGGAAUAAUCUACAGGCGUUCCUAACAUUCAGCCCCGCUGUAUUACAAACGCUGGGUAUUCAUUCAGAAAAUGAGGAUCCUUAUGUGCUGAUCAUGUCCAUACUUCCGUCUGUCUGGCUGUCACUUGGUGAACAUGAUAACUGCCUUGAUUUUACAACAAGCUUCAUCAAACCAUGGCAACAUUUGUCUUAUUCUGGGAUAACAGUGCUUCUUGUAGUAAAGGUUAAUGUUGAUGGUCUGAUGCACGCUUUACAAAGUUAAAGAAAAAAAAAUCUCAAGUUUAAGGUGGUUUGCUACAGUUUAUGCUAUUCUUGGAAAUGUUUUCAUGUUUUUACAGUGUAGUAAAGUCAUGUACAUUAAAAACAAGUAACUAACACACAUCCCCCACUACUAUUGUAAAUUCUAAACAUAUAGAAUGGUAUAGGCUAGGAAUUAGCAAUUAAAUGUUUAAUCACAAUUACAUACUGUAAGUGGAUCUGUGCAAAAAUAUAUGCAAACAAUGUGACAUACAGAUGGAAGGAUUUACAGACAGACAUCUCACUAUAUCACCAGAAUCUGAUACUGUCAGAAAUAUAUGCUGCAUAAUGUUAAUACUAACUUUCAUGGUAACUGGAUCAGCUUUUCUCCAGAUAUAUGCCAAAAUUGAAGUGUGGCUUAGGUACGGACGCAUACAUAUACAACCUCCUUCACUAUAUCUUCAGAGGAAGAUAAGUCAAAAUAAGGAAAAUAAGGAAAAAUAUACUUUAUUUUCUAUUAUUGUCAGUAGGAAAAUGUCACAAUUCGUGUACAUGUAGUAAAGACAACUUGAACAUGUUCAUUCCUCACAAACACAUAAAAAUCCCACAGAAGACAGUUGAACAAAGAUGCUAAGAUGUGUAUCGAUUUAUGUUUGUAAUAUGAUCUGUGUGAACCACCUUAAAGUAAAAACACAGGCUAAAAACAAAAAGAUAUGGGGUCCCUGCGUGUCUUUCCUGGUAAAUGCACGGCUGCGUGGUGUGCAGGGGGAGUCAUAGAGUCAGGGAAGCACAGGUUUACGUCCUGGCUGCGUGAAGUUGCUGGUGUUAGUUGGAGAUUUCAGAGGGAGCUCUAGUUGGCUCUGGUGCUCUCCUUGGUGCUUGGUAAGCUCAGGCUGACACCUGCAAGCCUGGCCUUUGUCCUGCUGAGGCAGGUAGAUCAUUAACAUCGCUCGAGUUUUGGGUAUAAAGAGCUCAUUGGCUUGGUCAUGGAAUUGGAGGACUUCCCUUCAGUUCCUCUGAGCUAUGUGGGGAGCUGCUGCUAUGGACUUUCUAAAGGAAUAUUCUAAAAAAUCUAUUCUAAAAUAUACCACAGCCUAAAUUACAAUCCAUAAUACAGUAUUUCAAGUUUAAAAAUGCUGUCCAACAUGUUCACACAGUAUCCCUUGCUAUGUGUUUUGCUUUACUGGACUGUAUAGCUUGUUUACAUUUAGAAAUUGCAAACGGAAAUAAGGUAAACAUUUUUUUUUUCUCCUAACUAGUUAAAACACAAGUUGUAAAAACUAUGAGAAAUGUCAUAAAGAAUACAAUUGUACAGUAUUUUUUAUGUGAAACUAAGCUUCAAAUAACAUCAGCAACACACUUUCUGAACCAAAAGUAACAUAAAUGUGUCGGUCCAGUGUGUUGUGAAAUGUCUCAGUCUGCAUUGCUUUCCAGCCCACUGAAGCCUGUCUAAAUGGGUUGGUUGAUGUACCUCAGCCCGAUCUCCAAUAUGAAUGCUGUGGGGUUUGUCAAUCACAAGUGUCCAUGGAAACAAAGGUUGCUUCAGACAAAGACAUCCUGAGCUACAAUGAAUGCCGCUACCAUACAAGCUGUGCCAACUUCUGGUUGAAUUGUGUAGAUCUAAACCUACCAUUCAGCCCAGCACAGAAACAGGGUUGAGUCAUGUAUUAUUUUAAAUGAUGUAUAUUAUUUGUUGUGAAUAUCCAGUUUCUUAAUUGCUGCCCAACCAGUGCCAACAAAUAUCCAGUGACAAAAAAGGACUAAAUGAUUGUAACCCACUUAAUAUCACUCUUGCUAAUGUCACUCUCCUCUUAUUAAUCACCAUUGUAACAUAUCUGUAAUUAAAUGUCCGAAAUAUAACUUAUAAUGGCACAGUGCAGUAUACAGAACACUGCAAUGUGUAUAUUCAGGAUUUCUUUAGUUUUUACAUGUACAGUACAGUAGACUAUUAAAAAAAGUUUUUGACAUGUAUGUAUGUAUGUAUGCACACUAUUGUAAUCAAUGCAAUAAUGAGUAGAAUUAUUUGUUGUUUGAACACUUCUGUGUUGUAAUGCUUAUAUAUUAACAGUAAGCGACCACUUAGUUAAGGUGACCUUAAAUACAGGUUUUACUAUAUUGGAUUAAAAAAAAAACAAAAAAAAAAAAACAUUACUGGUAGGAAUU